rnacentral:rRNA from 1 species
UUUCAUUCUCCCUUCCACCUGUGCACUUUCUGUAGAUCAGGUUGUCACCGUUCAGGUGUGCUCCGCACAGCUGUGAUUGAGGAUUUGCUCCAGCUGUCCUUGGAUGACCUGGUCUAUGUCUUAUCAACUCUUAAUGUAUGGUAUUGAAUGUCAGUCUGGGCUCUUUACAAGGCCCAUAAAUCCUAUACAACUUUCAACAACGGAUCUCUUGGCUCUCGCAUCGAUGAAGAACGCAGCGAAAUGCGAUAAGUAAUGUGAAUUGCAGAAUUCAGUGAAUCAUCGAAUCUUUGAACGCACCUUGCGCUCCUUGGUAUUCCGAGGAGCAUGCCUGUUUGAGUGUCAUUAAAUCCCUCAACCCCAUCUUCCUAGUGAAUGAAUGGUGUUGGAUGUGGGAGCUGCUGGCCUUGUUGUCAGCUCUUCUCAAAUGAAUUAGCAGGGCCCAUGUACAAGCUUCUCCAGCUUGGUAUUGAUAGAU